GCCUCCGUGGUGUAGUGGUUUGAGCACUGGACUGCAACUCUGGAGAUAAGAGUUCAAUUCUCAGCUCAGCCA